rnacentral:misc_RNA from 1 species
UGGUAUUGUCAGCAACUGGGAUGACAUGGAGAAGAUCUGGCAUCAUACCUUCUACAACGAGCUUCGUGUUGCACCUGAAGAGCACCCUGUGCUGCUCACUGAAGCACCACUCAACCCGAAAGCAAACAGAGAAAAGAUGACUCAGAUCAUGUUUGAGACCUUCAACGUCCCUGCCAUGUACGUUGCAAUUCAGGCCGUUUUGUC